rnacentral:rRNA from 1 species
GACGAACGCUGGCGGCGUGCCUAACACAUGCAAGUCGAGCGGGGAUUUAAGUGGAAGUUCUUCGGAAUGGAGAUUUAAAUUCUAGCGGCGGACGGGUGAGUAACGCGUGAACAAUCUGUCCCGGACAGGGGGAUAACACUUGGAAACAGGUGCUAAUACCGCAUAAGACCACGGCCUCGCAUGGGGCUGAGGUAAAAGGAGCAAUCCGGUUCGGGGUGAGUUCGCGUCCGAUUAGCUAGUUGGUGAGGUAACGGCCCACCAAGGCGACGAUCGGUAGCCGGCCUGAGAGGGUGAACGGCCACAUUGGAACUGAGAGACGGUCCAAACUCCUACGGGAGGCAGCAGUGGGGAAUAUUGGGCAAUGGGCGAAAGCCUGACCAGCAACGCCGCGUGAGGGAAGAAGGUUUUCGGAUUGUAAACCUCUGUCCUAUGGGACGAAGGAAGUGACGGUACCAUAGGAGGAAGCCCCGGCUAACUACGUG